ensembl:lncRNA
UACAUUAUUAACACACAUACUUAUUUAGAUUUCAAAUUUGCACAUCACAUACCUGUACAUACAUAAUUGUCUAUAUUAUAUAUUGUGUUUUUGCUUUUGUGUACAUUGUCUAUUUGUAUAUUAUUAUUUUUUUUAUCUGUGUCCUCUCUAGUCACUGUCAUUCUGUUGCACUGUGGAGCUUCUGUCACUAAAACAAAUUCCUUGUAUGUGUAAACACCUGGCAAUAAAGUUCACUCUGAUUCUGAUGAUGACGUCGCCUCCGUGUGGGCACGUGAUGAUGACGCAGAAGGGCACUUCAAGAAACAGUUUUUUUUUAAAUAUAUAUAUCAGAAUGAAACAGGUAAACAUUAGAACACAAACAUAUGGGGGAUACAGUAACAAUUAAAAUGUAAUUAAAUAUAAAAAAAAAAAUUACAUUCAUAAAAGUUACAAUUUAUUUAUGAUUUAUUUUUAUAAUAUUGGAUGUUUUAAGGCUUUUUUAUUAGAGGAGAUUCUUUGAAGUGAUGAGUAAAGCAAAAGUAAAUCAGAAGAGAGUAUUUUACAAUUAGGUUUAAUGUUAAGGCAUCGUGCUUUGUGAAUGUGGAGUUUUCCCAUCAUACAAAUAAAGUCCAGGACAUCCUCUAGCUCCCUAUUGUCAGAAAUCACAGAAUGAAAGAGAACCUUAACUGCUGAAAUGUUACAUAGACGAAAGAUUUUUCAUAUUUUAGCUGACUAAUGACUAAUGGGUGUGUGUGGGGGCGUGUGGGUGUUAAAUUCUGAUGUAGUACACAAACACUAUAAUAUGUUUUCAUUUAUUCUUUUAGUAUGUGCUUAAUAAGAUUUCAUACAUAGAAGAGUGCUUCAUGGACUGGCAGUUUAAAAUCUCUGUCAUGACAUUGAUACAGGUGUUUAAACCUUCAUUUAGUAAUUUUUUAUGCAAAAUGUUUUAUCUAAUUAUUUGUUUGUUCAUUUGUAUAUAGUUGUGCCUGGAGAAAUUGUUUAAAGGAAUAGUUCUCCCAAAGCUCACCCUCAGCAGGCCAUCCAAGAUUUAUGAGUUUGUUUCUUCAUCAGAAAUGUACUAUUACACAACUUGCUCACCAAUGGAUCCUCUGCAGUGAAUGGGUGCCUUCAAAAUGAGAGUUCAAACAGCUGAUAAAAACACAAGUCCUCUACCCAUAAUAUUGCUCUCUUCAGUGAAAAGUCAUCUGUUCUGAAUCAGGAGAGAAAUACGCACAGAUCAAGCACUGUUUACAACUGAAAACAGAUCUAAACAAAUAUGUCGCUGGGUUUUGAUGUGAGAGGACAGCAGGGGAUGGACUUUUUCACUGGAGGAAGUGUUAUUAUGUGUAAAGGUGAAAGGGUGGAUUAUUUUUAUCCUGGAAAAGAAUUUCAGUUAUUCCUAUGCUGUUAUAUUAAGCAAUAGUUAUUUGGUUAACCAUUUUCUUAUGUUAAUUUACCCAUAUUUGUGUUUCUGCUCGUCUCAGAUCUGUGGAUGGCCCCUGAACACUUGAGGAAACAGGGGAUCUCUCAGAAAGAUGUGUAGAGUUUUGCUAUCAUUUCCCAGAAGAUGCAAAGUGCACAUUCUAUACAAGCUCUUGCUCUAAUCGUACUGGUGGAGACAACUGGUGAUGCAUAUAUGGUGGUGUCUGGUCUUCCUCGACGCAAUGGGAACAGGCAUACAAAAGAUAUAUGCUGCAUGGCACU